rnacentral:rRNA from 1 species
AGUGAACGCUGGCGGUAGGCCUAACACAUGCAAGUCGAACGGCAGCACAGUAAGAGCUUGCUCUUACGGGUGGCGCGUGGCGGACGGGUGCGGAAUACAUCGGAAUCUACUCUUUCGUGGGGGCUAACGUAGGGAAACUUACGCUAAUACCGCAUACGACCUACGGGUGAAAGCAGGGGAUCUUCGGACCUUGCGCGAUUGAAUGAGCCGAUGUCGGAUUAGCUAGUUGGCGGGGUAAAGGCCCACCAAGGCGACGAUGCGUAGCUGGUCUGAGCGGAUGAUCAGCCACACUGGAACUGAGACACGGUCCAGACUCCUACGGGAGGCAGCAGUGGGGAAUAUUGGACAAAGGGCGCGAGCCUGAUCCAGCAAUACCGCGUGGGUGAAGAAGGCCUUCGGGUUGUAAAGCCCUUUUGUUGGGAAAGAAAAGCAGCAGGUUAAUACCCCGCUGUUCUGACGGUACCCAAAGAAUAAGCACCGGCUAACUUCGUG